UAGGGAAUCUUCGGCAAUGGACGAAAGUCUGACCGAGCAACGCCGCGUGAGUGAAGAAGGUUUUCGGAUCGUAAAACUCUGUUGUUAGAGAAGAACAAGGACGUUAGUAACUGAACGUCCCCUGACGGUAUCUAACCAGAAAGCCACGGCUAACUACGUGCCAGCAGCCGCGGUAAUACGUAGGUGGCAAGCGUUGUCCGGAUUUAUUGGGCGUAAAGCGAGCGCAGGCGGUUUCUUAAGUCUGAUGUGAAAGCCCCCGGCUCAACCGGGGAGGGUCAUUGGAAUCUGGGGGACUUGAGUGCAGAAGAGGGGAGUGGAAUUCCAUGGGUAGCGGUGAAAUGCGUAGAUAUAUGGAGGAACACCAGUGGCGAAGGCGGCUCUCUGGUCUGUAACUGACGCUGAGGCUCGAAAGCGUGGGGAGCAAACAGG
rnacentral:rRNA from 1 species